AUUCUUUUAGUAUCAAUUAGUACAACUGACUUCCAAUCAGUUAGUUCCGACAUAAACUCGGAAAAGAAUA
rnacentral:tRNA from 1 species